CAGAUUUGGGGGAGAGGAGAGCUUCCCAAACUCUCACCAUCAUUUUAAUUCACCAUAACUUCUCCGUUUGAGUUCCGAUCGCCGUACUGUUUGCGGCCACGUGUCCAGCGCAUCGAGCUCUACAUUUAUGUCGGAUCAAUUUUACUGGUUCGAUUUAGCUUGCAGAGCUUAUCAGGUUUGAGUUGCUAUGCAUCUGGGUGCGGUGUGAAUUAAGUAUAUAUUUAUGCAUUGGAAUUGAACGGUGGGCAUUUAGAGGCUUGGUGGAUGAUUGGUGCUAAGAUUUUAGUUGAUUUCUCAAGCUUGAGGGGUUGUGGAUGUGACUAGUGUGGCUGCCUUGGACCAAACAUAGUGAUCGGCCAAGAUGCAGGUCGAGCGGCUCCUCGCUAGGCAUCUGGAUCCCUGAAGCGGAGUAGUCCCUAGGUUAUUUUGGGUUUACAGUUUGUAUAUGUAUGGUAAUAUGUGUUAGCUUGCUCUCCAAGAAACUUAAUCAUUUUGUUCCUCAUAGAGGUUGAGGGAGAGUUAGGGUCUCUUUUCUGUAUUUUGAGUAUUUUGGGAUACCUGUAUAUGUAUGUAUAUAUAUUCUCCGGCCAGCCUUGGCUUCGCAAGCUGAGUCAGGAGCUAGUUAUGCUGUACUCUUGGCUCUCUAUUCUUUUUUUUGCUU